rnacentral:misc_RNA from 1 species
GGGGAGCACUAAGAAAGGCAACAUACAAAUUCUCAUUUUGUGACCGGUGUACUCCUUUCUUCUCUCUCUCAUAUUGUGACAAUUUUCUUCUUACAUUUUCACUUUUAUUUUCCUCUUGUUUUCCUUGUCUUCUCCAUAGAUUAGAGACCAGUAAUCUCUCUCCGGGGAGCACUAAGAAAGGCAACAUACAAAUUCUCAUUUUGUGACCGGUGUACUCCUUUCUUCUCUCUCUCAUAUUGUGACAAUUUUCUUCUUACAUUUUCACUUUUAUUUUCCUCUUGUUUUCCUUGUCUUCUCCAUAGAUUAGAGACCAGUAAUCUCUCUCCCCAACUAGUUUAGGUUCACAGUUCACUCUUAUCAUCCUCAGUUGGUUUAUUGUGGUCAAACAAGAAAUGCUUGAAUUAUGAAGGAAUAGAUAGCAAUUAGCUAGAAUCCACAGCAUGAAAUUUAUUCACUGUGGGACAUCACCUGGUUAUUUAAAGCACAUAUGGUUUAUUGUUAUCAAGGAAGAAUACUGGUUGAAUUGUUCAUAGCCAAUAAUAUGAUCACUUAAUAGAUUCUAGAUUGCAUUAUAAA